rnacentral:lncRNA from 1 species
CAAGUCUUCGAUCUUCUUCUUGCAAGAAAGUGGCCAUCAACUUCACUAUGCCUGAGGUCAGUUCACUACCCUUCUUUUCUGCACCUUUACCGUACUCCUGUUCAUCCGCGAUUUUCUUUACUGAAUACUCCUUUUUCUUUUUUGUUCUUUCUUUUAUCCCUACAAACCUUUAGGAUCUGGCCGAUAAGAUCAUUAUUCCUACCGAUCAACCUCACCUCCAAUGUCUUGGCCCACUAGGAAACACAGAUCCCACCGAUCUGAUAAAGGCAGAG